rnacentral:lncRNA from 1 species
AAUAUCUGUUUCUUGUGUAAAGUAGCCAGUGACUUGGACAGUUUUCCCUGAAACUACAUUAGAGACAUCGCUUCAUCACAGAACCUGAAAUGGGCCACUAGCUGCCUCAUACCUGGCUGAGCCUUGAAAUUUCCAGUUUCCCUGGGACAGGUCCAGGUCUUGGGUAUUGGCCUGCUCAACAACUCCAGUGCCGGGAUGAAGGUGUUGUGUGUCUAUAAGCAUGACUGAGUUAAACUGAACACUUCAUUACUGGAGCAUCGGUAAAGAGGUUUUAAGGAACUAGGUCCCAGCCAUCAUCAAGCUCUUCUCAGCCGCCACACAGUGCACCAAACACUGGGCGAGCAGGUUUUAUAGAUUGAACCUGAGGCCUGGCACAUGCUAGGCAAGUGCUGUACCGUGAAGUUGUGCCCCAAGCAUCUUGCUAGCUGACCUGCCAUCGUAGAAGUAUUUACACCAGGGAAAUUGGCAAACACUACCAUCAGGAGCAGAAGAGGUGCUGAGUGAAAGUAUAAGGAUUAGAUGAGGUUUGGAUUCCCAGAGUCCAUGGGAAGAUGGACAGUCGUGG